GAAAUUGAAUCUACCGUGGAUGACGCCAUCGCCAGUGGUAGGCCAAAGCUACAUCCGAGAGUGCGUAGCACAGUUCGUAGUCAACUUGUCUUGCUUAACUAUUGCACGAAUGACGUCACUCCAUAAUCUCUUUAAAUUUUUGCACGUGGACAGUCAAGCAGAUCGCAGGAUAGGAAAAGUACUAUCACAGCAAAUCAAAAGCAAUAUAUUGUUUUCAAUAAACUGCCGAUAAAGUUCGAGCUAAUUGAGAAUUGCCCAUAUGAGUAAGAAAAACACUUAAUUGCGACUUUUUUGAAAAAAGAUUUAUUGAAUAUUGGAAAAUAAAUAUAUCGUCGCCGCGCCAACAAAAACAGUUGUGUUUUUUUAAUAACUUUUCAGGAGAGCAAAAAAACUGAUUCCUAGUGCCAAUAGACAAUAUUUUGCAAAUUUCGUCUUAAAAAGGAUCAGUCCAGAGCCUUCGUCUUGACCUGGCUCCGCCACAGCCGCUAAGCUUAAACGCAGAAUACAUGUACAUGAAAUAUUCGUUUUGAUUGUAUUGAACUAAA